rnacentral:tRNA from 1 species
GCCCUCUUAGCUCAGCUGGUAGAGCACUUCAUUCGUAAUGAAGGGGUCAUCUGUUCGAAUCAGAUAGAGGGCACCA